rnacentral:rRNA from 1 species
AGAGUUUGAUCCUGGCUCAGGACGAACGCUUGCGGCGUGCCUAAGAAAUGCAAGUCGAGCGAGGUUUAGAAGCUUGCUUCGAAAACCUAGCGGCGAACGGUCGCGUAACACGUAAGCAACCUGCCUCAAAGAGGGGGAUAGCCCGCCGAAAGGCGGAUUAAUACCGCAUGUGAACACACUCUUGCAUGUUAGUGUGUUUAAAGCAGCAAUGCACUUUGAGAUGGGCUUGCGGCCUAUCAGCUAGUUGGUGAGGUAACGGCUCACCAAGGCGACGACGGGUAGCUGGUCUGAGAGGAUGGUCAGCCGGACUGGGACUGAGAUACGGCCCAGACUCCUACGGGGGGCAGCAAUUAGGAAUCUUGCACAAUGGGCGAAAGCCUGAUGCAGCGACGCCGCGUGAAGGAUGACGGCCUUCGGGUUGUAAACUUCUUUUAUCAGGGAAGAAGGAUGUGACGGUACCUGAUGAAUAAGCCCCGGCUAACUACGUGCCAGCAGCCGCGGUAAUACGUAGGGGGCGAGCGUUGUCCGAAGUUACUGGGCGUAAAGCGCGCGUAGGCGGACCUUUAAGUCAGGGGUGAAAUUCCGAGGCUCAACCUCGGAACUGCCUUUGAAACUGGAGGUCUUGAGGUAUGGAGAGGGAAGUGGAAUUCCUGGUGUAGCGGUGAAAUGCGUAGAUAUCAGGAGGAACACCCGUGGCGAAGGCGGCUUCCUGGCCAUAUCCUGACGCUGAGGUGCGAAAGCUAGGGGAGCGAACGGGAUUAGAUACCCCGGUAGUCCUAGCCGUAAACGAUGGAUACUAGGUGUUAGAGGUAUCGACCCCUCUAGUGCCGCAGCUAACGCAAUAAGUAUCCCGCCUGGGGAGUACGGCCGCAAGGUUGAAACUUAAAGGAAUUGACGG